AAUAUAGGUUGUGUUUUAAACGCAUUCUUUUACGCUGAACUUAUUUUUUUUGUAUUCGUUUUAUUAUAAAUACUUACAAUUUUGUAUCUUUAUAGAGUUUUAUUAAAAAAAAAAUCGAAUCAAAUCAGAUUUCAUCGAAAACUCAUUCAUUCGUUCGUAAAACACAAAAGAAAUUCUUCGCAGUUCCCUUGGAAGUUACCGUUUUAAAAUAAGAAAUUACGAAAAACAGAAACGACGUAGACAGACUUUAAGACUUACACAAAACACGAAAAUCAAAGUGAUUGGAUAAUUUUAAAUCCCGAACAUUUUUGUCUGAAAUGAAUAAAGGAUUAUAGUGGGUCUAUAGAGAAAAUGUGUAUUCAAAGGCUGAAUAGCAAACAAAUUGCCUUGAGAUUAUGCAUGUAUUUGCCAACAGAAAAGAAGUUCAAGAUUUGCUUAAACUUUGCGCGUUCUACACAUUUUUGAAUGGUUGUGAUAUAUAUUUUGACACCCAUAAGCUGAACAUGAUCCGUCGAACAUUUUGGAAAAUAUUAUGACGAUGAACAGAUCGCGUUCUGUCAAAGCAUACAUGAAUAAUAAUAUAAUUAUAAUAUGUGUAUAGGUUUUUCUU